CUGGUCCUGGCAAAAACAUCACACAGACAGAGAGAACCCUUUGUUCCCCUGCCCCCCCUCCAGCUUUGAAAGUAUCUUGUCUCCUCGUUGGUCAUUUUGGUCAGGUGCCAGCAAGAUUAUCUUCUUAACCCUUGAUAGGUGAAAGGGUUUCUCCUCUGGCCAGGAGGGAUUUAAAGGCCCUGUAUAGAGAAAGUU